rnacentral:rRNA from 1 species
GACGAACGCUGGCGGCGUGCCUAAUACAUGCAAGUCGAGCGAGCGGAACUAACAGAUUUACCUCGGUAAUGACGUUAGGAAAGCGAGCGGCGGAUGGGUGAGUAACACGUGGGGAACCUGCCCCAUAGUCUGGGAUACCACUUGGAAACAGGUGCUAAUACCGGAUAAGAAAGCAGAUCGCAUGAUCAGCUUUUAAAAGGCGGCGUAAGCUGUCGCUACGGGAUGGCCCCGCGGUGCAUUAGCUAGUUGGUAAGGUAAAGGCUUACCAAGGCGAUGAUGCAUAGCCGAGUUGAGAGACUGAUCGGCCACAUUGGAACUGAGACACGGCCCAAACUCCUACGGGAGGCAGCAGUAGGGAAUCUUCCGCAAUGGACGCAAGUCUGAUGGAGCAACGCCGCGUGAGUGAAGAAGGUGUUCGGAUCGUAAAGCUCUGUUGUUGGUGAAGAAGGAUAGAGGUAGUAACUGGCCUUUAUUUGACGGUAAUCAAUCAGAAAGCCACGGCUAACUACGUG